GCUUACGGCCAUACCACCCUGAACACGCCCGAUCUCGUCUGAUCUUGGAAGCUAAGCAGGGUUGGGCUUGGUUAGUACUUGAAUGGGAGACCGCCUGGGAAAUACCAGGUGCUGUGAGCU
rnacentral:rRNA from 1 species